AUGGAGAGCAGGGCCAGGGGGCUUGAUGCAUGGUCGUCCCGCACGCCCCAGAUCUCACCUUACAAAUGCAGAGGUGAGAGGUCAUGGCCUCGGGACCUGUGCAGGGUCACACAGCUAGGGAAGGAAGGAGUGGGAUCCAAACCCUGUCCCUUGUCUCCAUCGUCACUCCAUCACACUGCUGACGGAUCAGAGGGCCAGGUAGCGGGGCGUGGGUGUGAGUUAGCCCAGGUCCAGGUAGGGGGGCGUGGGUGUGAGUUGGCUCAGCUCCAGGUAGGGGGGUGUGGGUGUGAGUUGACUCAGCUCCAGGUAGGGGGGCAUGGGUGUGAGUUAGCUCAGCUCCAGGUAGGGGGACGUGGGUGUGAGUUGGCCCAGGUCCAGGUAGGGGGGCGUGGGUGUGAGUUGGCCCAGGUCCAGGUAGGGGGGCGUGGGUGUGAGUUAGCCCAGGUCCAGGUAGGGGGGCGUGGGUGUGAGUUAGCCCAGGUCCAAGUAGGGGGGGCCUGGAUCUGAGUUAGCCCAGGUCCAGGUAGGGGGGCGUGGGUGUGAGUUAUUUGGCGGAACGCGCUGUCGCACCUCUGCAGACGUGGUAGCGGCCUCCCAGCGGCCUGGUGUGUGCUGGUGUCAGGCACAGCUCGGGGCCGCUGGGCCCAGUGCCUUCGCUCUGUGGAACGAGCACCGGAGUGUCUUGCCCGGCUUACGAAGUUGGGAGAGGCAGAGCCAGGCUGAGACCCCACUGGCGGGAGGACUUUAGGAUCCUCACUUAGCCCCUUGACCCUGGUGGGCUCUCCAGAUGUUUACCCGUGGCACUGCUAGGAGGAGGGAGGGAGAGAGGUGGCAGAAGUGUGGCACGAGCUGCACGUGGCGAUGGUGAGCCCAGGUCUGUCCACUUGGUGCCCGAUGGAUGACAUGUUGGGAGGCCCCUGUAACGCGAGGCCUGGGCGGCAGACGCUUCGAGCUGCUGAGUGCACGGUUGGGGUGAGCGGGAUGGGCAAGCUUAUGCCGGAGCUCGGAUGGUGUUUUCCGAGGGAGAUGGGAAACGGUAGGCAGGAGCGAGCCGUUGGAUUUGUUGUCAUGAAGUGGCUGUGGAUCAGGGUGGGAAUGACUGGGAGGAAGCAGUGAGACAGGUGGGGGGGCGUUGCUACUGCGGGCAUGCAGGUCGGUGUGGAAGGCAGAGGCGGACUGCACGGGUCCACGAGAGCUGGGCUUGACGGGGCUUCGGGAUGGGACGUGGGGGUGGGGUGAGAGGAGCCCUGGAGGGUGCCUCCCUGGGUGCCGGUGACAGACGGAUGAUGGGAUCCUUCGGUAACGUGGGCGGUGGGAGAAGGCAAGGCCAGUGUUGGACGUAAGGAGUUGGGGGUUCGUGUGGACAUCGCAGUGGGAAUGAGGCCAGACUGAGCGCUCCAGUCGAGAGCUGAGAGAGGCGGGCUGAGUGGUGGAGGGAGCCAGCAAGUGGGCGGCCCCAGGGCGGACGGGGUGGGGGAAGCGAGAGCCUUGGCUUGGAGCCCAAGUGCACGCACACGCACACGCAUGUUGGGGUCUUGGCUCCCCAGUUUUCAUGGUGAGCACUACCGUGGAGUGUUAGUGCAGAGCAGGGAGCAAGUAUUUCCCGGCUUCUCACCUCUGCUCUCACAGGGGAAGGCCGUCGUGGACAGUUCGUAAUCGAACUUUGAGGCCGUGGGCCAGUAAAACUUCAUUUACAAAACUACGAGGCCGGCAGCUCUGGCCCUGGGCCGGUUCUUAGCCGCAGUGUGGCAGGAAGGUGCUCGCUCCCGCUGGUCUCUGAGUCCUUGGGUGGAAACAGCCAGGUCUUGUUGAGCGUUUCCUUAGGUUCUCUAGGAAGUGGGGGCAGCGUUGGGCACAAAGUCAGUGUACCCAGGCCUUUGCUUGCGGUUAGGGUGCCAGCGUGGGGACUUACAGACCUGGGCUCCUUCAGCCCCCGUCAUCGCGUGGCGGUCAGCAGGUGAGGACGCCUGCCUGGCCCGUGGGCUCAGUGACCUGCCUGAGCUUGCUUCCACCCAGAGGGGACACUGGAACCCCGUCGGGCCUGCUGACCUGAGACCCUUCCCAACAAGGACAAGGACAAGCUAGGAUCUUCCCUUCCCAGCAGCACACUGGUGCCUUCAACAAUGGCUUCCACUGAUGUUGGGAAGCACUUGUAUGAAGCAAUAGUGCUGUGGAUCGGCGAGUUAAGCUGCCACCUGCAGCACCAGCAUCCCAUAUGGGCAUGGGUUGGAGUCCUGGCUGCUCCUCUUCUGAUCCAGCUCUCUGCUGUGGCCUGGGAAAGCAGUAGAAGAUGGCCCAAGUGCUUGGACCCCUGCACCCACGUGGGAGACCUCCUGGCUCCUGGCUUCAGAUUGGCCCAGCUCUGGCUGUUGCAGCCAUUUAGAGAGUGAACCAGCAGAUAGAAGAUCUCUCUCUUUCUCUCUCUCUCUAACCUUGCCUUUCAAAUAAAUAAAUAAACCUUUAAAAAGAGUAGUAGUGG
ensembl:lncRNA